rnacentral:rRNA from 1 species
AUUGAACGCUGGCGGCAGGCUUAACACAUGCAAGUCGAGCGAGCGGCGGACGGGUGAGCAAUGUCUGGGAACCUGCCUGAUGGAGGGGGAUAACUACUGGAAACGGUAGCUAAUACCGCAUACCAUCAGAUGUGCCCAGAUGGGAUUAGCUAGUAGGUGGGGUAAUGGCUCACCUAGGCGACGAUCCCUAGCUGGUCUGAGAGGAUGACGGGCGACGCUGGAACUGAGACACGGUACAGACUCCGAGGGGCGGCAGCGGGGGGGAAUGUUGGCAAAUGGGGGGAAGCCUGAUGCAGCGAUGCCGGGUGUGUGAAGAGGGCCUUCGGGUGGUAAAGCACUUUCAGCGAGGAGACGUAACUCGCGGAAGAGGCACCGGCUAACACCGUGCCAGCAGCCGCGGUAUUA